AGCGAACGCUGGCGGCAUGCCUAACACAUGUAAGUCGAACGAGAUCUUCGGGUCUAGUGGCGCACGGGUGCGUAACGCGUGGGAAUCUGCCCUUUGGUUCGGAAUAACAGUUGGAAACGACUGCUAAUACCGGAUGAUGACGAAAGUCCAAAGAUUUAUCGCCAGAGGAUGAGCCCGCGUAGGAUUAGCUAGUUGGUGUGGUAAAGGCGCACCAAGGCGACGAUCCUUAGCUGGUCUGAGAGGAUGAUCAGCCACACUGGGACUGAGACACGGCCCAGAAUCCUACGGAAGGCAGCAGUGGGGAGUAUUGGACAAUGGGCGAAAGCCUGAUCCAGCGAUGCCGCGUGAGUGAUGAAGGCCUUAGGGUUGUAAAGCUCUUUUACCCGAGAUGAUAAUGACAGUACCGGGAGAAUAAGCUCCGGCUAACUCCGUGCCAGCCGCCGCAGUAA
rnacentral:rRNA from 1 species